GACGAACGCUGGCGGCGGGCUUAACACAUGCAAGUCGAACGGAAAGGCCCUGCUUUUGUGGGGUGCUCGAGUGGCGAACGGGUGAGUAACACGUGAGUAACCUGCCCUUGACUUUGGGAUAAGUUCAGGAAACUGGGGCUAAUACCGGAUAGGAGCUCCUGCUGCAUGGUGGGGGGUGGAAAGUUUCGGCGGUUGGGGAUGGACGGCCGGCUUAUCAGCUUGUUGGUGGGGUAGGGGCUGACCAAGGGUUUGAAGGGUAGCCGGCCUGGGAGGGUGACCGGCCACAAUGGGACUGAGAUACGGCGCAGACUGCUACGGUAGGCAGUAGUGGGGAAUAUUGCACAAUGGGCGCAAGCCGGAUGAAGAAGCGCCGCGUGCGGGAUGACGGCCUUCGGGUUGUGAACCGCUUUCGCCUGUGACGAAGCGUGAGUGACGGUACUGAGUAAAGAAGCACCGGCUAACUACGUG
rnacentral:rRNA from 1 species